UUGCUUUGGUAGCCCAUAUACUAAAAUUUGAAUGAUACAGAGAAGAUGAGCAUGGCCCCUGAGAAAGGAUGACAUGCAAAUUCAUCAAGCGUUCCGUAUUUAU